rnacentral:rRNA from 1 species
GAUGAUACGCGAGGAACCUUACCAGGGNUUANAUGCAGGCUGCAUGGGGUGGAGACACCCCUUUCUUCGGACCGNCUGCAAGGUGCUGCAUGGUUGUCGUCAGCUCGUGCCGUGAGGUGUCAGGUUAAGUCCUAUAACGAGCGCAACCCCUACCGUUAGUUGCCAGCAUGUAAAGAUGGGGACUCUAGCGGGACUGCCGGUGCAAACCGAGAGGAAGGUGGGGACGACGUCANAUCAUCACGGGCCUUACGUCCUGGGCUACACACGUGCUACAAUGGNCGGUNCAGAGGGAAGCCACCCCGCAAGGGGGNGCGGAUCUACAAAACCGGUCACAGUUCGGAUCGGGGUCUUNAAACUCGACCCCGNGAAG